UGUGUGUGUGUGUGUGUUUGUCUUUCCCCUUGGGUAAAAAGGCGGGGGCAGAGGGAACGAGUACACUCUCUCCGGGAACCCAAGCAAGGAUAGCGGGGUUCGGCUGGAUACUAUAGGAUAGGAUCCCCAAGAGGAUCAGGGGUGGACGGGCAGGAUAGCUGUUGGAAGCCACUGUCCGGAAGAUAUCCCUCUGAGUCGGGAGUCCUCAAGCUCAACCAAUUGCCAGCAGUUGGGUAGUGUGUUGCCAAUUUAAUUUACUUUGGUUACUCUUGGAGGACAAAGUGCAGCAGUCUAUGCAAAGAAUUCCCUGAGGAAAUUCGAAGAUGAAUAGAGAAAUUUUAUGAAGAACUUGAUAAGACCAUCCAUAUUAAAGCAAAAUAUACUUUGAU